rnacentral:rRNA from 1 species
UACGUAGGGCGCAAGCGUUAUCCGGAAUUAUUGGGCGUAAAGAGCUCGUAGGCGGUUUGUUGCGUCGGCCGUGAAAACCUGCAGCUUAACUGUGGGCCUGCGGCCGAUACGGGCAGACUUGAGUUCGGUAGGGGAGACUGGAAUUCCUGGUGUAGCGGUGAAAUGCGCAGAUAUCAGGAGGAACACCGGUGGCGAAGGCGGGUCUCUGGGCCGAUACUGACGCUGAGGAGCGAAAGCGUGGGGAGCGAACAGG